GAUGAACGCUGGCGGCGUGCCUAAUACAUGCAAGUCGAGCGAACAGACGAGGAGCUUGCUCCUCUGACGUUAGCGGCGGACGGGUGAGUAACACGUGGAUAACCUACCUAUAAGACUGGGAUAACUUCGGGAAACCGGAGCUAAUACCGGAUAAUAUAUUGAACCGCAUGGUUCAAUAGUGAAAGACGGUUUUGCUGUCACUUAUAGAUGGAUCCGCGCCGCAUUAGCUAGUUGGUAAGGUAACGGCUUACCAAGGCAACAAUGCGUAGCCGACCUGAGAGGGUGAUCGGCCACACUGGAACUGAGACACGGUCCAGACUCCUACGGGAGGCAGCAGUAGGGAAUCUUCCGCAAUGGGCGAAAGCCUGACGGAGCAACGCCGCGUGAGUGAUGAAGGUCUUCGGAUCGUAAAACUCUGUUAUUAGGGAAGAACAAAUGUGUAAGUAACUAUGCACGUCUUGAGGGUACCUAAUCAGAAAGCCACGGCUAACUACGUG
rnacentral:rRNA from 1 species